AAAUGUUUGAUUGCAAGUCAAAUGAAAAGGUUGCUUAGUUUAUUGAGGGGUUGGCUGUUUAAUUGUGAAUUUAAUCUUGGUUUAGACAAAAUAGCUUAGGUAUUAACAUUAACAUAGUUUUUUGGUGGAUAGGUAAAAUAAGAAAAUGUUGAAGAAUUAGAUGUGGGUUUUAGAAAAUAAUUAAAGGUUAGAUUUAGAAGUCUAAGUGAAAUAGAGGCUGAUUAGAGUGCCAGCAGCUGCGGUUAUACUCAGUCUGUUAUAGUUUGUUUUAGGGGAAAAUGAGAUAGAAAGUAAGAGAAAUUUUAAGGUCAUAUAGAAAAUUAGGUUAUUUUUAGAAAAAUGUUUGUAAAGUUUUUGUAGUAAACCUGUUGGUAAUAAUAAUUAUAAAUAAAAAGGAGUUUUGGACCAUAAAGAAUAAAAAGAUUUGGCAGUUAAUUAAAUUUUCUGGGGAGUGUGUGAAUAGAAGAGAAUAUACGCUUAGGAAUUAACUAAAGAAACUUGGGAAGGUUAGUGUACGGUUGUUUGGGUAAGGUUUCUUGAAGAGAACUAUAAUCUUAAAGCAAAUCAUUGUGCUGCUUCAUGCUUUAGAUUAUUCAUUCACUACUGUUGUGUGUCUUUCGCUGAAAAGUGGGAGGCAAUGAGGACUAGAAAGUAAGAUGUUCAGAAGAUUGGGGGUCUGAAUAAAGGUUUUAAUUUGAGUACACAUUGCCCGUCAAUUUUCUUAGGAAGAUAAGUCGUAACAUGGUAAGUUUAGCUGAAGCUGAACUUUUUAGAAU
rnacentral:rRNA from 1 species